rnacentral:rRNA from 1 species
GGACUACGCGGGUAUCUAAUCCCGUUUGCUCCCCCAGCUUUCGUCCCUCACUGUCGAAGCUGUUCUGGUAAACUGCCUUCGCCAUAGGUCGUCCCUCGAGGAUUACAAGAUUUCACUCCUACCCCCGAAGUACGGUUUACCUCUCCCAGUUCCAAGACUGCCGGUAUCUCUUAGACGCCUUCACGUUGAGCGUGAAGAUUUCCCAAGAGACCUAACAGGCUGGCACCGGUCUUGCCCUGCCCUUUCUUCACAUAUGAUUUAGAUAUAUGAACAGCCUGCAUCGACAGGCACUCAGGGUUUCCUUAUCACGAUUGCUCGCAUUGUAAAGUUUGCGCGCCUGCUGCCCCCCGUAGG